GAUGAACGCUAGCUACAGGCUUAACACAUGCAGGUCGCGGGGCAGCAUGGGGGUUGCUUGCAAUCCCCGAUGGCGACCGGCGCACGGGUGAGUAACGCGUAUCCAACCUGCCCUUCACCACGGGAUAACCCGGCGAAAGUCGGACUAAUACCGUAUGUUGUCCAUUGACGGCAUCCGAUUUGGACGAAAGGCUUGGCGGUGAGGGAUGGGGAUGCGUCCGAUUAGCCAGACGGCGGGGUAACGGCCCACCGUGGCUACGAUCGGUAGGGGUUCUGAGAGGAAGGUCCCCCACACUGGAACUGAGACACGGUCCAGACUCCUACGGGAGGCAGCAGUGAGGAAUAUUGGUCAAUGGGCGUAAGCCUGAACCAGCCAAGUAGCGUGCAGGAUGACGGCCCUAUGGGUUGUAAACUGCUUUUAUGCGGGGAUAAAGUGGCCCACGUGUGGGCUUUUGCAGGUACCGCAUGAAUAAGGACCGGCUAAUUCCGUG
rnacentral:rRNA from 1 species